AUCGCUUCUCGGCCUUUUGACUAAGAUCAAGCAAGUGUAGUAUCUGUUCUUACCAGUUUAAUAUCUGAUAUGUUCUUUAUCCGAGAACAAUAUAUAUUGAAUGGAUUCUUGGAGCAGGGAGAUGGAAUAGGAGCUUGCUCCUUCCACUCCACGCAUCGACCUGGUAUUGCAGUACUUCCAGGAACGGUGCACCCCCA